AUGGUAGUGAAGAGCGGAGGCGGCAACGACGCGAAGGAGGGGGCCGCGGGCGCGGCGGUGCAGCGGUGGGUGGAGGCCGGCGGCGGGAGGCUGGUGCUGGACGGCGGGCUGGCCACAGAGCUCGAAGCCCACGGCACCGACCUCAACGACCCGCUCUGGAGCGCGAAGUGCAUCCUCUCCUUCCCGCACCUCAUCCGCAAGGCAAGCCGCCGCCGCCCAAGUCAAUCCGCCGGCCACCGACGUGCGCAGGGGCACCGAAGCUUCCUCCAUUCCGUCCUUCCGCCCGACCCGCGCAGCGAUCUUGAUUCCGCCGGGGCUGGGGAAUGGGGGUGGAGGAGGAGGGCGCCAUCAACGGCGGCGAGGAGGGCCCCGGCCUUGGCCUCGCGGCGGCGCCGCACGACCGCUGGGUCCUGCUCCGCCCCGGCCAGGGCUACAAGCUUGGUCAUUGAGAAGGAAAGCUUCCCGCACGACGAACUGGAAAUCACGACAUGGACUGAAGAUGGACUUAUCAUGGCUGCUCGGCACAAAAAGUACAAGCAUAUCCAGGGGGUCCAGUUCCACCCAGAGAGUAUUAUCACCCCUGAAGGCAAGAGAAUCAUCCUCAACUUUGCGAGAUACGUUGAGGAGUUCGAGAAGCAGACCUCGGAGGGGAACUAG
rnacentral:rRNA from 1 species